UCCCAGACUCCUACGGGAGGCAGCAGUGGGGAAUAUUGCACAAUGGGCGAAAGCCUGAUGCAGCAACGCCGCGUGAAGGAAGAAGGCCUUCGGGUCGUAAACUUCUGUCCUUGGGGAAGAAGAACUGACGGUACCCAAGGAGGAAGCCCCGGCUAACUACGUGCCAGCAGCCGCGGUAAUACGGAGGAUGCGAGCGUUAUCCGGAUUUAUUGGGUUUAAAGGGUGCGUAGGCGGAAUGCCAAGUCAGCGGUAAAAUCGCGGGGCUCAACCUCGCUCCGCCGUUGAAACUGGCGUUCUUGAGUGGGCGAGAAGUAUGCGGAAUGCGUGGUGUAGCGGUGAAAUGCAUAGAUAUCACGCAGAACUCCGAUUGCGAAGGCAGCAUACCGGCGCCCAACUGACGCUGAAGCACGAAAGCGUGGGUAUCGAACAGGAUUAGAUACCCUCGUAC
rnacentral:rRNA from 1 species